CCUACGGGAGGCAGCAGUGGGGAAUAUUGGACAAUGGGGGCAACCCUGAUCCAGCCAUGCCGCGUGUGUGAAGAAGGCCCUCGGGUUGUAAAGCACUUUCAGUGAGGAAGAACGCCUGGUGGUUAAUACCCAUCAGGAAAGACAUCACUCACAGAAGAAGCACCGGCUAACUCCGUGCCAGCAGCCGCGGUAAUACGGAGGGUGCGAGCGUUAAUCGGAAUUACUGGGCGUAAAGCGCGCGUAGGUGGCUUGAUAAGCCGGUUGUGAAAGCCCCGGGCUCAACCUGGGAACGGCAUCCGGAACUGUCAAGCUAGAGUGCAGGAGAGGAAGGUAGAAUUCCCGGUGUAGCGGUGAAAUGCGUAGAGAUCGGGAGGAAUACCAGUGGCGAAGGCGGCCUUCUGGACUGACACUGACACUGAGGUGCGAAAGCGUGGGUAGCAGACAGGAUUAGAUACCCCAGUAGUC
rnacentral:rRNA from 1 species